GUUCGCCCCUUGUGUCACACCCUCAUCCGCUGCUGGAGGGGGGAGUCGGAGAAAGAGCCACCCUGAAAAAACUUGUCAUUCCAGAAACAGAAGACCAGUCUGGAGAGAAUGGAGGGACUGUGCAUCCCCCAAGGAUGUGACCAAACCCAGGGAUGUGAUAUCAGACUAUGGGGAUUGCAUUCAGGAGUUGGCACUUUCAAGAGUACAGAAAAGAAUUAAAGGAAAGGAUUAAGUAUCUUCAAGAGGCAAACUGAAGACUCAUUCUUUUAAAGUUGGAGGUCAUCUGCAGUUUGUGGGGAAAACAAGUAAGGGGCUG